UAAUCUUUGAUUAUUUGUGAUGAGCUAAUUAUUUCCAGCUCGCAAUCGCAAUUGAAAAGAUUAUUUCCAGAAAAUCACCGUUGAUUGUCAAUCAAUUGAAUUUGAAUAUGAAAAAAUUACGCCAGCUGUGCUCUUAAAUGACCAAUGACAAUUAACUUUCAACUUUAAAAAAUAAUUUUCCUGCUACUUUAUCAAUGUGUGGUCAAAGAAUGCCCAGUAUCUGUUAACUUUAGUUGAAAAUUGUUACAUAUUUAUGAAAAGACCUUACAUCUUGUUUAAUGAAAGUGUCAUAUUUUGAUUGAAAUUUGAUUUAAUCUGAUUCUAUUCCGUCCACUUUUUAAAAAAAUUUUAUCCACCGAUAAUCAAAUCAAUCCUUAAUGGCAGACGCACCUGGACCUAGCCGACCACGCUUGACACACGCACAAAAAGCUAAUGCUCGUAAACGAGCGCGCCUUGCAAGGAUUCUUGACAGACCCAGUAAUGAUCCUAAUAAGCGGGCGGUUUUUCAGAAAAAAGCUGAAAAGCUUCAAAGACGAGUCUCGAAAUGCAAAGAGCUGAUUGAGGGUCUCCGGCAGAAACUGGAAGCAGCAGAAUCUGAAGAAGAGAAAAGACGAGUCGAAGAUCAAAUAAACUUUCAUACGAGUAGACAGGAAGAUCUGGAAAGAAAGGUCGACAUCUUCUUGAAUCCACCAAACAGUAAUAUGGGAACACAAACAGAUAACUAGUUUCAUACACUUCGAUGUUUUUAACACUUUAACGACAAUCCAUUUUGAUUCUGACGCCUCCUGAAACAACUAGCUUGUUAUUCUGCUAUGACAAGAAACCAAUUAUCUUCAAAUGGUAAACAAUACUUAAUAUUUAAAUGGACGAAAUUUUGAGCUUUCAUAUGAAUGAGAACGAAAAUGACACUUGAAUAUCGCUAAAUAAAAUACAGCCUUUGCUUAGAUCA